GCAUCGAUGGCCGAGUGGUUAAGGCGUCAGACUUGAAAUCUGAUGGGCAAUGCCCGCGCAGGUUCGAACCCUGCUCGAUGCG